rnacentral:lncRNA from 1 species
UAAGAAACUGUAACAUGUCUAAUUUUUUAGGGUAGAGUAAACUAUAGUUUUCAAUUAACUUGGUUCAGAGGAGCUGGUUUUGAUGGUUAAGACAGUUUUGUAACCGAUUAAAACAGGUUAUAUCGGUGGAUUAGAAAUAUUAGAUUAUGGUUGACUAAUUACGUGAAAAAAAUGGUGAAAUUUAUAAAGUUUUGUGUUGAAAUCUUAUUUCAUAUAUAUAUGUAAAAGAUAUAAACGAAAAACCCUCAAACUUGAGUGAGUGUUAAAUUUGAAUAAUAUAGCACAACUCGAUUGAAUUUUAAUUCGAUUGGUAUGGAUAUUAUUAUCAAUAUAGGAAGACAUGAGUUUGAAUGUGUUAAAGGGUAACCUUAUCUUAAAAAGAGAAUAUAUGUAUAGCAGAAGUAUAUUAUGAGUAUUUUGCUUGUUUCAGCUCUGGUCGUAUCUAUGUGAUCGACACACAAAAGAACCCCAAGGCUCCCUCGUUGCACAAAGUGGUGGAACCUGAGCACAUCAUUGAGAAAACCGGCUUGGCAUAUCCCCAUACAUCUCACUGCCUUGCCAACGGCGACAUAAUCAUUUCAUUUCUCGGCGACAAAGAUGGAAACGCCCAAGGCAACGGAUUCCUUCUCCUCGAUUCCCAGUUCAACAUCAAAGGGAGGUAAAUGCAAAAACAAAAACAAAAACAACAAUUUAGACCAUGAAAACAAUUGUCAUUAAGCUUAAGCUGUUUCACUUCUUGUUGUUGGUUUUUUUAAGGUGGGAAAAACCAGGGCGUAAAGCUGAGUUUAGCUACGAUUUUUGGUACCAACCUCGACAUAAAACGAUGAUCUGCUCAUCGUUUGGUGCUCCUUUGGCAUUCACCCAAGGUUUUAACCUUAAACAUGUCGAAGACGGUUUCUAUGGAAGACAACUGUUUGUGUAUGAUUGGCCUGAUGGUCGGCUCAAACAGACAUUGGAUCUCGGUGACAAUGGUCUUAUCUCCGGAGAGGUAACUUUAAGGGUUAAUUAAACCAAAUCUUUAUUAACUACUAUACUAAUCACCUUAUUUUAUCGGUCUAAUUAAUACUCACUUUGAAAUAUAUUUAAAAUAUGUAUCAUAUUAUAAAUUUAUAUAUACUUAUAGCCAAUAUUACCAAAACCAUACUUGUGGCCAGCAUCUACUUUCUUAGCCAAUAUUUACUUCAUAUUUUGUGUAUGCAAAAUGCAAUAAAUCCUGCUUUCUUAGACUUGGAAUUCGCUAUAUGCAUGUAUAUACACUGAUGUGUUUUCUUUGCAGAUAAGAUUCUUGCAUGAUCCAACCAAAGACACAGGGUACGUCGAGUGUGUCCUAUCAAGCAACGUAGUACGGUUUUUCAAGACCCAAGAUGGAUCAUCAUGGAGUCACGAGGUGGCUAUCUCAGUGAAACCAUUGAAGGUACAAAACUGGAUUCUCCCCGAAAUGCCCGGACUCAUAAUCGGCCUUUUAAUCUCUCUCGACGACCGGUUCCUAUAUUUCGUCAACUGGUUCCACGGCGAUGUCCGACAAUACAACGUUGAAGACCCCAAAAACCCAAUCUUGGUCGGCCAAGUAUACGUCGGAGGAUUGCUUCAAAAGGGCAGCCCCAUAACAGCAGUCACAGAAGAUGGAAAAACAUGGCAAGCCGAUGUUCCUAAAAUCCAGGUCUUGUUCUUUCAACAUUGAUAUAAUAACAAAAUUGUCGGAUUAGGCCUAUCAAUGGCGAUAUUGAUGCUGAACAUUGUUUUUGUUUGUUUUUGUAGGGACAUUGUCUCAGAGGGGGACCUCAUAUGACACAGUUAAGCUUAGAUGGGAAGCGGCUGUAUGUGACGAACUCGUUGUUUAGCACAUGGGAUCGACAGUUUUACCCUGAUGUUAUAGAGAAAGGUUCACAUAUGAUACAGAUUGAUGUGGACAUUGAGAAUGGUGGUCUGAAAAUAAACCCAGAUUUUUUUGUUGAUUUUGGAGCUGAACCUGAUGGUCCUUGUUUGGCUCAUGAGAUGAGAUACCCAGGUGGUGAUUGUACCUCAGAUAUUUGGAUUUAAAUCAUAUGAAGAAAAAAACAGUUUCAGUUAUGAAGACAAAACAAUCAAUGUAAUCUUGUUGACUGUUGUGAAUUAAAAGAACACGUGUUCUUGGAGGAGAUAAUGUAAUAAUAUCAUCACAUCCACAUGUACCUUGGACUCUCAAUGUUCUAAAACUUGGCCGUUGUUGCUCAUUGUUGAUAUGAUUUGGACUUUGGAGUAUCCUAAGAGAGGUCCAAAAGGUGUCAACUAAAUAAAGCAAAAAAGUACAAUGGGUAACAAACUUAAACCCAGCUCACAAGGUGUCCUAAGCCCAUAGGAACACCGACUAGCAAGGGUUUGGAGUCAUCCCCAACAACCGUUGGAUCACUGUGAAAACAAAAGAGAUGAAUAAAUAUCGAGACAAACAAUCAUUCCUGCCUUCAUCCACCAAACCUUUAAAUCUCUCAUCGCAUUCCAUUGGUGACUCAAAGAGUAGUGAAGGAACUUAAAGAAACAACUUGUUCGGGGUUCGUUCGGGAUUCCAAUAGGACUUGGAAAAAGCAUUACCCCUUCCGGGAAAGGCAAGCCAACUCCAACUUCAUUAAGCCAUCAAUAAGCAUGGUCACAUCUGACAUACAUCUUAUUCAUGGUUAGUUGUUUUAGUAAUAUUAUUUUUAGAGUUGGAACUUAAGUUAUCUCUUUUGAAGUAUAAUGUGUUUUAACAAAACAUUUUAUAUUUAUUAAUUAAUUAAUAAUUAUAUCUUUUAACGAGUAAUGUGAUAAAAUUCGUUAAUAAUGUAUAAAUCUAUAUAUAAAAAGUUGAUUGAGUCUUAGAUCAGUUGAUAUUGAUAUUAUUGUCAAUAUAAAAAGACAUAGGUUUGAAUGUGUAUAAAAACAAUCUAUGUCGAAGACAAUGGUAGGAAUUUUAUAUUAGAGUAGGAUAAUAUUAUAAAAUUUUGAAACCUAAAGCUAAGAUUUCUAGGUUAAGAAGCUUAAAUUGUUAAUUUUUGUAAAGGACCAAAAAAUAAUUUUUUUUUUUUAGAAUUAGAACUAAAUUAACAAAUUUUGAAGGCUAAAUUUAUUGAAUUUUUUAGCAUUCAAACUAAAAUGUCAAAUUUUGUGAACAUUGAGGGCUAAAUUUUUGUUGAAUAUUUUCUAUUUAGGACCAAAUUAAUAUAAUGUUUAAACAUUAGAGGGCUAAAUUUAUUAUUAGACCAAUAAAAAAAAAGGCUCAAAUCAACUUUAAAUUAACAAUUCAACAAACAAAAUAGAAUAAAGACAAUAGUUUAAGGAUCAUUUGAUUGUUUAACCUUAAUAAAAUCCAUAUUCAAUUAUUUUUUGAAAGAUAUAUUACCUUUAAAAAAAUACAUAUUUAUUUAUUAUUUAUAAACAUUAUACAUAAAUAAAUUUAAUAUAUAUUCAUAAAAAUAUUUACAAAUAUGUUGGUUUAAUGUUUACGAAGAAUUUCAUUUAACUUAAACAAAUAUAUAUAAUUUGAAAUAAAUAAAUAGAAACAUAAUUUUGAAACAUUUAACAUACAUGAACCGACCACAGCUAUUUUUUUAACAGUAAUAUUAUUAUAGGUUAUUAUCAUAUUUAAUUUUUUUGAUAUAAUAUCUAAAAUUAUUCAUAGCAUCUUCCUAACAUUUAAAUAAGAGGAUAAUGCGCUGCAGCGCACUCGAACUCAUGUUCUUCUACACUAACAAUAAUACCGAUAUUAAUCAAACUAAUACUUAAUCGACCGAACACCAAUAAUAUUAAAAAUAAAGGAAUAAAUAUAAACAAAAAUUCAUUUGUUGAAGAUGGGUUGCUCUGGAGGGUUACAAACACCAAUUUCAACGCAUUUGAGAAAAAAAGAAGAAAUAAAAGAUAUUUAAACCCACGGUUAAUAUAAUGUUUAAAACUAUCUAUAGUUUAUUCCUAAUUUUUAAAUAAAAGAAUAAUGGGGUUUAGCGCCCUUGAACUCACGUCCUCCUAUAUUAACAAUAAUACCAAUAUCAAUUGAGUUAAGACUUAAUUGACAAAAUACUUUAUAUAUAUAUAUAUAGUGGGUCCAAAUAUACAAAACAAUUCAUAAAAUCAAUAAUUGAAGAAUUGGACUCACACAUUUGAUCAUCCUCCGUCAAUGUAAACAUCAAUUCCAAAUCUAAAUUCUUGGUUAAAGUCUACUUCUAAUAAGUAAAGAUCAAUUUUAAUUUAACUUCUCCACUUCAAAAAAAUCAAAUUAGAUAAACUAAAAUAUUGUAAUUUGAUUGAAUUAGAACGCGUUGGAUUAAAUUGAGUGAAAUUUUUUUGAGUUAAUCAAGUUUAUGAGUUCUAUUUUAUCAUCUUAAUUUAAUUUAAAAAAAUUUCAAAUCAAGUCGAGUGAAAAUUUGAGUCAAGUCGAAUAGAGCGAAAUUGUUCGAGUUGAAUUAAAAAAUUAAACAUUUUAAUUAAAAUCUUGUUACAGUAUAAUUGAUUCCAUGUUAGACAUGUAAAUUUGAAAACUUUUUCAAAGCAAAAAAAAAAAAAAAAAUACUUCAGAAUAAUAAAGUUGAAUAAUUCAUUAACUUAUUUUAGGUUCCAAAAUUAUUAUUUUAGAAAAUUUUUAAAAUUUUAAUUUUCUUUAAAUUUUUUUUAAAACUUCCAUAAUUUUUUAAAAAAUAUAAAUGAAUUUUUAUAAAUAUUUUUAAUUUUAAAAUUAUUUUUAUUUUUGAAAACUACUAUGAAUUAUUUUGUAAUUUUUGUUGAGAGAGACCAAUCUAUUAUUUGGAUUGUAAAAUUCAACUUGACUCGAACUCAAAACUCGAAUUACUCAACCAACUCAAUCCGAUUAACUUGAAAUUCAAAUUUUUUUCCGAAUCGAAUUGAGUUUUGCUCCUCUAGUUUUAUUAUUAAAAAAAUUCUUAUAUUGAUAUUAAUAAAGUAUUAGAAAAUAUAUACUUAUAUUAAUAUUUAUUUUAUAAUUUAAAAAUAUUUUUAUUUAAGAUUAAUUAAAUAUAUAUUUACAUAUCAAAUGAAUUAGAAUAAGCUAAAAAAAUGGUGGGAAUUUUUAAAACGAAAACUAUGAAAACCAAAAUAAUUUUAGCUAUUAAAUCAAAAUAAAUAAAUUAGAAUAGUGAAUUUAUUGAUUAUUAAGAAAUUAAAAAUAGAAUAAGAAUUUAUUUUAUAAUCAAUGUUUAUUGUUUAUAAAAAUUCUUUAAUAAUAGGAAAUUUUUAUUUGUACUAUAUUUUAAUAGUUAAAAUAAUUAUAUAUUUUAAUAGCAUUCAUUAAUUAUUAUUUUAAAUAAUGAUUACAUGAACUAAAAUUAUAUUGUAUAUUAAAUUAUGAUUUGAAUUUUUUUAAAUAUUAUUAAAAAAUUAUUGAUUUAUAAAAUAUCAAUAUUUUAAUAUGAUAUUUGAAUUUUUAUUAUAUUUAAAUUUUUAAAUAAGUUAAUUAUUUUUUAUUACUUUUUAACCAUUUGAAGAACGAAUUAAAAUUUUAAUUAUAAUAAUUAAAAAUAUAUUAUAUAAAAAUAAUUUAAAAUUAAAUGUAUAAAAUCACAUUAUAACCAGUAAAAAAUAGUUAUAAAUUAAAAGCAAAAGAUAUAAACAUUUUUUAAAAAAUUAAAAUAAAUAGUUUCUAAUUUGUGACCCAAAAAAGUUAGGCACCCAGGCAUUUAUCUGCCCCCACAGCUACACAAAGAGCCUAUAAAUACAAAGGAUUUUCCCAUGCUUAUCACUACCAAAUUACUCAUACAAACCCUUUUUCUAAAGUAAAGUUUUUUUUUCCCCCCUUUUGGUAGUUUAUGAGUAUAGAGAGAGAGAGAGAGAGAGAAUUUGCCAUGGGUGAAGAAGUAGGGUGUUGCAAGAGAACAGGAACAGGAUAUGGAGCUCCAUUGGAAGCCAUGUCUGGUCCUAAAGAAGCUCUUAUCUAUGUUCCUUGUGUUUAUAAUGGUAAUACUACUUUUCUUUCAUUUUCUUUGAAACCACACAUGUUUUAAUUAAUUACUUAUGUUCAUCUAUGUGGGUUUUUUUUUUCGUUCUCUUCUUUUUUUUUUCUUUUUUUUUAUAUAUAUAAUGGAUUUGUAUGCAUCUAUAUAGGAACUGGAAGAGAGAAGCCAGAUUUCUUGGCAACAGUUGAUGUAGAUCCCAACUCACCAACUUACUCUAAAGUUAUACACAGGCUAUCUUUGCCAUAUAUAGGUGAUGAACUACAUCAUACGGGGUGGAAUGCUUGUAGUUCUUGUCAUGGUGAUCCAUCAUCUGAUCGACGGUUUUUGAUCCUGCCUUCUUUGCUGUAAGAAACUGUAACAUGUCUAAUUUUUUAGGGUAGAGUAAACUAUAUAGUUUUCAACUAACUUGGUUCAGUGGAGUUGGUUUUGAUGGUUAAGACAGUUUUGUAACCCAUUAAAACAGGUUAUAUCGGUGGACUAGAAAUAUUAGAUUGUGGUUGACUUAUUACGUGAAAAUAGAUGGUGAAAUUUAUAAAGUUUUGUCUUGAAAUCUUAUUUCAUAUAUAUAUUUAUGUAAAAGAUAUAAACGAAAAACACUCAUAGUACACUUUACCUUAUAAAACAAUAUCCACUUAUAAUCUAUUAAACCUAUUUAUGGGUCGAACAAAAAGGUUUAGCUAAAAAUAUUAGGUUCGAAAAAUAUUUAUGUUAUACAAACUUGAGUACGUGAGUGUUAAAGUUGAAUAAUAUAGCACAACUCGAUUGAGUUCUAAUUCGAUUGAUAUAGAUACUAUUGUCAAUAUAAAAAGACGUGAGUUCGAAUGUGUUGAAAUACAGUAUCUUUCUAUUUAUGAGUUAGGAAACCGUAACGAGUAACCUUAUCUUAAAAAAGAGAAUAUAAGUAUAGAAGUAUAUUAUGAGUAUUUUGCUUGUUUCAGCUCUGGUCGUAUCUAUGUGAUCGACACACAAAAGAACCCCAAGGCUCCCUCGUUGCACAAAGUGGUGGAACCUGAGCACAUCAUUGAGAAAACCGGCUUGGCAUAUCCCCAUACAUCUCACUGCCUUGCCAACGGCGACAUAAUCAUUUCAUUUCUCGGCGACAAAGAUGGAAACGCCCAAGGCAACGGAUUCCUUCUCCUCGAUUCCCAGUUCAACAUCA